GAUGAACGCUGGCGGCGUGCCUAAUACAUGCAAGUCGAGCGAACGGACGAGAAGCUUGCUUCUCUGAUGUUAGCGGCGGACGGGUGAGUAACACGUGGAUAACCUACCUAUAAGACUGGGAUAACUUCGGGAAACCGGAGCUAAUACCGGAUAAUAUUUUGAACCGCAUGGUUCAAAAGUGAAAGACGGUCUUGCUGUCACUUAUAGAUGGUUCCGCGCUGCAUUAGCUAGUUGGUAAGGUAACGGCUUACCAAGGCAACGAUGCAUAGCCGACCUGAGAGGGGGAUCGGCCACACUGGAACUGAGACACGGACCAGACUCCUACGGGAGGCAGCAGUAGGGAAUCUUCCGCAAUGGGCGAAAGCCUGACGGAGCAAGGCCGCGUGAGUGAUGAGGGUCUUCGGAUCGGAAAACUCUGUUAUUAGGGAAGAACAUAUGUGUAAGUAACUGUGCACAUCUUGACGGUAACUAAUCAGAAAGCCACGGCUAACUACGUG
rnacentral:rRNA from 1 species